UACGAAGGGGGCUAGCGUUGCUCGGAAUCACUGGGCGUAAAGCGUGUGUAGGCGGAUCGUUAAGUACCUUGUGAAAUCCCACGGCUCAACCGUGGAACUGCUGGGUAUACUGGCGGUCUUGAGCCACCUAGGGGCAACUGGAACAAGCGGUGGAGCGGUGAAAUGCGUAGAUAUCGCUUGGAGCGCCAACGGUGAAAACAGGUUGCUGGGGGUGUGCUGACGCUGAGACACGAAAGCCAGGGGAGCAAACGGG
rnacentral:rRNA from 1 species